CUUAAAGAGAGGGUGGGUUUUUUUGCUGAGCUGUUUAAGAAACACAUUUAUACCUCCUCAGUAAGCCAGCUGCCCGUGGCUUGCCAGUUGAUCCAGUCCUCCCACCAGCGCUGUGUGUUUUUCUUCUUGGGACUUAGGUGCUCAUCAACAAAACCAAGAUGUCUGAGUAAG